AUUGAACGCUGGCGGCAGGCCUAACACAUGCAAGUCGAGCGGAUGAAGGGAGCUUGCUCCUGGAUUCAGCGGCGGACGGGUGAGUAAUGCCUAGGAAUCUGCCUGGUAGUGGGGGAUAACGUCCGGUAACGGGCGCUAAUACCGCAUACGUCCUGAGGGAGAAAGUGGGGGAUCUUCGGACCUCACGCUAUCAGAUGAGCCUAGGUCGGAUUAGCUAGUUGGUGGGGUAAAGGCUUACCAAGGCGACGAUCCGUAACUGGUCUGAGAGGAUGAUCAGUCACACUGGAACUGAGACACGGUCCAGACUCCUACGGGAGGCAGCAGUGGGGAAUAUUGGACAAUGGGCGAAAGCCUGAUCCAGCCAUGCCGCGUGUGUGAAGAAGGUCUUCGGAUUGUAAAGCUCUUUAAGUUGGGAGGAAGGACAGUAAGUUAAUACCUUGCUGUUUUGACGUUACCAACAGAAUAAGCACCGGCUAACUUCGUG
rnacentral:rRNA from 1 species